rnacentral:rRNA from 1 species
UACGUAGGGUCCGAGCGUUGUCCGGAAUUAUUGGGUGUAAAGAGCUCGUAGGCGGUUUGUCGCGUCUGCUGUGAAAUCCCGAGGCUCAACCUCGGGCCUGCAGUGGGUACGGGCAGACUGGAGUGCGGUAGGGGGAGAAUGGAAUUCCUGGUGUAGCGGUGGAAUGCGCAGAUAUCAGGAGGAACACCGAUGGCGAAGGCAGUUCUCUGGGCCGUAACUGACGCUGAGGAGCGAAAGCGUGGGGAGCGAACAGG